rnacentral:sRNA from 12 species
GAUAAAACCCGGGAUAACCGGGCAAAAGGGCAGGCGGGGCUGAUACGCGUGCCCCCUAUCAAACCAUUUGGUCUGAUUGAAUAGUGCAACAGCAAUUCGCUUUUAGUGAAUGAAAGCUGCAGUAAUCGAUUGGAAAUCACCGAAUGGAGCGAAGGCAAAGUUCACUCAAGUGCCCAGUGAUGUUCGCACAUCACUGAACGCGAAAUGGCACUUGAGGAGUGAGGGGAUUUGGAAUAAAGAUCAAUUCCGUUAGAAGACACCCCGAGCUUGGCUUGUUUGAAUGUGUAGCGGGGUUGUGUUCCUCCGGGAAUGCGGCCCACUACGUUGCUCUGACAGACUUGCCCGGACUGAAAUCCCUCGGGAUUAAGGUCUGAGUCAGAAGCUUGAGUCCUCUUUGAGCUCAAGUGGAACGCAGUUGCCUAAAAGGUAUUGAUUGCUUACUGAGACAUCAGCACGGCGGAAACCGCAAAUUGGCCGGAAACGGCCAGCCGGACGAAAUCCUCUGAAAGGAGAACAAAAGCCGGGGUUCCCGUCGGGAUAGCCACGCGCCCAAGACGACGGUCGUGAAAACUAUCCGAAACCGUGGCGAUGCGGCAAAAACUGCAGCGCUGCAAAGUAAACGAAAUGGCAAUCUGAGGGUUAAGAGGCGAGACCCGUGGCACAGGCGAACGCAUCGUCACAAGCGAUGGCUGACCUGCUGCCAAAGGGCUAGGAUGCGAACGGAUUACUUGCGUGUCCAGUCUGGUCCGCAUGUCAGUGGCCGCAACCACUGGCUGAGCGGGCAAAUAAACCUCACCCAAUAAUCCAUGUGCCGCAAGGCCUUGGACGGCCCUGCUAUGAGGCCGGCAACUCCGAAAGUCACGGAGAAUAGCGUCGGGGAGCAACCGACCCACACUGUGGGUGCCAAAUGGUUGCAACGGGAAAGAGCGCGUGGCGACCGCC